rnacentral:rRNA from 1 species
GAUGAACGCUGGCGGCGUGCCUAAUACAUGCAAGUCGAGCGAACAGACGAGGAGCUUGCUCCUCUGACGUUAGCGGCGGACGGGUGAGUAACACGUGGAUAACCUACCUAUAAGACUGGGAUAACUUCGGGAAACCGGAGCUAAUACCGGAUAAUAUAUUGAACCGCAUGGUUCAAUAAUGAAAGACGGUUUUGCUGUCACUUAUAGAUGGAUCCGCGCCGCAUUAGCUAGUUGGUAAGGUAACGGCUUACCAAGGCAACGAUGCGUAGCCGACCUGAGAGGGUGAUCGGCCACACUGGAACUGAGACACGGUCCAGACUCCUACGGGAGGCAGCAGUAGGGAAUCUUCCGCAAUGGGCGAAAGCUUGACGGAGCAACACCGCGUGAGUGAUGAAGGUCUUCGGAUCGUAAAACUCUGUUAUUAGGGAAGAACAAAUGUGUAAGUAACUAUGCACGUCUUGACGGUACCUAAUCAGAAAGCCACGGCUAACUACGUG